CAUCACUACGCUAGAUGCAUAUCAAUAAGCGGAGGAAAAGAAACUAACAAGGAUUCCCUUAGUAACGGCGAGUGAAGCGGGAAGAGCUCAAAUUUGAAAUCUUCAAGGUUCUACCUUGACGAAUUGUAGUUUAAUAGAAGUGUUUUCUGUUGAAGUUUGGCUAAAAGUUCUUUGGAAUAGGACAUCAUAGAGGGUGAGGAUCCCGUAUUUGACCAUUAUUUUCCAGCUGUGUGAUACACUUUCAAAGAGUCGGAUUGUUUGGGAAUGCAGUCCAAGAUGGGUGGUAAAUUUCAUCUAAAGCUAAAUAUUGGCGAGAGACCGAUAGCGAACAAGUACCGUAAGGGAAGAUGAAAAGAACUUUGAAAAGAGAGUUAAACAGUACGUGAAAUUGUCAAAAGGGAAGCGUUUGACACCAGUGUUGUUUAGUUGAAGAUCAAUUCAAUAGUUUUUGAUUCUAAGUAGUAUUGACUUCAUCAGCUUGCUGCUUUCUUCUCAGAAAUUAUUGAAUGCACUUUUCAGUUAACAAGUCAACAUCAAUUUCUUUUGUUGUAAAAGGGUAAGAGGAAGGUGGCUUGCGCUUCGGCUCAAGUGUUUAUAGCCUUUUAUCUCUGCAAUCGGAGAGAUUGAGGUCUGCAGCGUAGAUCCUUCGGGGUUAGAUACAUUGGUGCUAAGCUAUAGCCUUGUAUAGACAACUUGUUGACUAUGCUCAGUCAUGUAGCUUACUCGCUGAUGCUAUUUUACCUACGCUUAGGAUGUUGACACACGCGCGUGCUCG
rnacentral:rRNA from 1 species